rnacentral:rRNA from 1 species
GAUGAACGCUGGCGGCGUGCCUAAUACAUGCAAGUCGAGCGAACGGACGAGAAGCUUGCUGCUCUGAUGUUAGCGGCGGACGGGUGAGUAACACGUGGAUAACCUACCUAUAAGACUGGGAUAACUUCGGGACACCGGCGCUAAUACCGGAUAAUCUUUUGAACCGCAUGGUUCAAAAGUGAAUGACGGCCUUGCUGUCACUUAUAGCUGGAUCCGCGCUGCAUUAGCUAGUUGGUAAGGUAACGGCUUACCAAGGCAACGAUGCGUAGCCGACCUGAGAGGGUGAUAGGCCACACGGGAACUGAAACACGGUCCAUACGCCUGCGGUAGGCACCAGUAGGGAAUCUUCCGCAAUGGGCGAAAGCCUGACGGAGCGACGCCGCGUGAGUUAUGAAGGUCUUCGGAGCGUAAAACUCGGUUAUUAGGGAAAAACAUAUGUGUAAGGAGCUGUGCACAUCUUGACGGUACCUAAUCAGAAAGCCACGGCUAACUACGUG